CCAACCGGGAUUGCCUUAGUAACGGCGAGUGAAGCGGCAAAAGCUCAAAUUUGAAAUCUGGUACCUUCGGUGCCCGAGUUGUAAUUUGGAGAGGGCAACUUUGGGGCCGUUCCUUGUCUAUGUUCCUUGGAACAGGACGUCAUAGAGGGUGAGAAUCCCGUGUGGCGAGGAGUGCGGUUCUUUGUAAAGUGCCUUCGAAGAGUCGAGUUGUUUGGGAAUGCAGCUCUAAGUGGGUGGUAAAUUCCAUCUAAAGCUAAAUAUUGGCGAGAGACCGAUAGCGAACAAGUACAGUGAUGGAAAGAUGAAAAGAACUUUGAAAAGAGAGUGAAAAAGUACGUGAAAUUGUUGAAAGGGAAGGGCAUUUGAUCAGACAUGGUGUUUUGUGCCCUCUGCUCCUUGUGGGUAGGGGAAUCUCGCAUUUCACUGGGCCAGCAUCAGUUUUGGUGGCAGGAUAAAUCCAUAGGAAUGUAGCUUGCCUCGGUAAGUAUUAUAGCCUGUGGGAAUACUGCCAGCUGGGACUGAGGACUGCGACGUAAGUCAAGGAUGCUGGCAUAAUGGUUAUAUGCCGCCCGUCUUGAAACACGGACCUCCUGUGUGAGGGGUCCCCCAUAUAGGA
rnacentral:rRNA from 1 species